rnacentral:snRNA from 1 species
UACUCCGUGAAUCGGAGGCG